GGGUCGAUGGCGUAGCUGGUUAUCGCAUCUGUCUAACAUUGGAGUUGGUAUCUUUCGAUGUGCACAGAAGGUCCUCAGUUCGAACCUGGGUCGACUCA